rnacentral:rRNA from 1 species
GACGAACCGUGCGAACGUUGUUCGGAUUCACUGGGCUUAAAGGGCGCGUAGGCGGCCCGCCAAGUCAGGGGUGAAAGCCCCCAGCUUAACUGGGGAAGGGCCUCUGAUACUGGCGGGCUCGAGGGGGAUAGGGGCGGACGGAACUUCCGGUGGAGCGGUGAAAUGCGUUGAUAUCGGAAGGAACGCCGGUGGCGAAAGCGGUCCGCUGGGUCCCCUCUGACGCUGAGGCGCGAAAGCCAGGGGAGCGAACGGG